GACGAACGCUGGCGGCGUGCUUAACACAUGCAAGUCGAACGGAAAGGCCCUGCUUUUGUGGGGUGCUCGAGUGGCGAACGGGUGAGUAACACGUGAGUAACCUGCCCUUGACUUUGGGAUAACUUCAGGAAACUGGGGCUAAUACCGGAUAGGAGCUCCUGCUGCAUGUUGUGGGUUGGAAAGUUUCGGCGGUUGGGGAUGGACUCGCGGCUUAUCAGCUUGUUGGUGGGGUAGUGGCUUACCAAGGCUUUGACGGGUAGCCGGCCUGAGAGGGUGACCGGCGACAUUGGGCCUGAGAUACGGCCCAGACUCCUACGGGAGGCAGCAGUGGGGAAUAUUGCACAAUGGGCGGAAGCCUGAUGCAGCAACGCCGCGUGCGGGAUGACGGCUUUCGGGUUGUAAACCGCUUUCGACUGUGACGAAGAGUGAGUGACGGUAAUGGGUAAAGAAGCACCGGCUAACUACGUG
rnacentral:rRNA from 1 species